GUCUACAGCCAUACCACCCUGAAUGUGCCUGAUCUUAUCUGAUCUCGGAAGCUAAAUACAGUAGGAAAAUAUGAAGGAGAUGUGGGGG
rnacentral:rRNA from 1 species